GAAUCAUAAUCAACAUCAAUGCUGGCAACUUGGCUCCUCGAGAUCCUACUUCUUACCUUCCAAUUAGUUCUCUCCACUAGUUUUAAUACAAAUUUCUCACCAUUCAUGCAGACUGGACAAGAUGGGUCAAACUUCAGUCGCAUGCAUCAUAAUUUCCAAACAGUUUGCAUGGAAGACAUGCCCACAGACCAGAAUAGCCACUACAGAUAUCUCUUUGUUCAGAACCAGUUUCUGGCUACUCCACAAAGAUCUAUCAUUCAAAACCUUUGAGCAUACUCCACACAUUUGUGAAUCAGAAUAAAGGGAAGUUGAUGAAAGCUGAGUGCUUGAA
rnacentral:lncRNA from 1 species